CAAGAAAGACAGCAGGACCCCAGUUGCUUGAAGCUAAGUAACGAGGGGCAGAUGACAAAAUGAGCAAUGAGGCUGCCUUACUUGGGGGCAGGUGAGGUUACUUAAGUCCUCCUGUCAUGGACUAACCCAACUCACCAGAGCUUGCUUUCAGAGCUGGGUGCAACAUGAUGCUCUUCCAGGGACUUCUGUGAAUUUCGAUCCUGCCCACCUGGUGGUUUUAUAAAGCAAACCAGUGUUCACCUUGGAACUGAAGACAGAUUCGUUACCUGAAUUGCAGCACAUUAGCUGGAGAGGGGCAAUGCCUUGAUGCCAAAGUGUGUGAUACCCAGUAGACUGUACUAUUGAUGUGCAGCUUUCAUUCCGUUCCUUAAUGGACAUGUUGCACAAAGGACUUUCUCGUUAAAUACCCCCAAACAAAGCAAGAAUAUACAAUUACCAUAUCGUGAAAAUAAUCGUAUUUUCUUUUGCCAAUUUACAAGAGGCUGGUUCACCUAGCAUCUUGACAUACCCAACUUACGUCUCACACAAAAGAAAGACUGUAUGAAAAUAUCAUCCUUCAACGUAACUGUUUUUAUUGUGUAGUGAAAGACUGCAUCUAAAACCAGAGGAAGAGGAGUAUCAAACAGCAUAUUUUACCUAGUACGUACAAACAAAGAAGCUGCUGAGAGUUGAGUAGUAGAUUUCUUGCUCAAACAGAAAAGAAGCAGUAACUCAGGCUUCCAUCUGCGUUUUAUCAACUGCUAAGAAACAGGGUAACAUAAGGGUGCAGCUUCUCAAAAGACUGGCAAACAGAAAAGAAACAGGAGAUACAUCUAGUAUGUGCUAUGGGAUGGCUUGGUAAGAUGAGAAAUCAGCUGGCAGUUUUAUCACUUUCUCCAUUCUCUAUUAGUUUCCUUUUCUUUUCAUCCGUUUUCCUCUUGAAGAUGCUAUCUCUGUAGAACUGAAGUUCUUUGAUGCUUUCCCUGAUGUCAUCAAGUGCUCUGAAAGAGAAUUAAGGAGGGCUUCAAAAUGCCUGCACACAUCUUCAACUACAUCUGGAUUCUAAUGCUUCUAAGAAAUUCCAGGCUGUGAGAAAUAAAACUCUGAUAUGCAUGGAUCACAAAUCUGUCAGAAAUAAAAACAACCCUCGCUACUCUUGGGCAUGUGGAAAGCAAUAAAAGUCCACCAGCACUGACGUGCCAGGGAGUAAUGUACAGCUUAUUAGUUUAUGUCACUGCGCGACAUACAAGCUCUUGAAAGCCAACAGGUUCUACAGCUUCAACUAUUAAAAACAAUUCACUAUUAAUCUGAGACAACAAAGAGACAAGGACUCAGGAGACCCGUUUGUGGCUCCUGCUCUGGCCAGUCAUCUGCUUGCUACGUGAGCAAGGGUGACUGACUUGUUUUGACCCAGUACUUUUUGUUACCAUGCUCUGCCUGCUAGGAAUGUAAGGUCUGUGCAGAAGUAGGAAUCUUACUGCAUGUUUUCAAAUGUGCAGCACACCUGCCUGUGAUUUCCACCAAGAUCUCUACAAGACAUCCCUUCUCUUUUUAUACCAAAACCUCCUCUCCUGCCCAACAAGGCCAUGUCAGAACAAAGAGGUAAAGAUGCAGUUACUUCCUUCCACUGUCAUUUAGGAAUGUCAUAGCUAGAAGCACCAAGUAAUGCCUACAGAAAGCCCAGAGUAGACAUUUCAAUGCAUAGGUGUGUUGCUCUUUUUUCCACAUUUAGUCUGAGCAGAUGAAAAAGCAAAAUGGAUGCACUUACUGUGCAUAUGGACUUACCAAAGCCUAUGGAUCCCAAGGGAUUUGUGUGAGACCCACCAUCUCCUCUAUACAGAAGAACUUAAAAUCUUAGAAAAUGUGGCUUUCUAAAAAUUGUUAAUACUACACAGCACCUUUUCUUCCAAAACCUCAAAGCAACUUCAACUUUUAAGGGUGUCUUAGAUGCCGGCAGGAGCAUAACUCAAAAUGAAAUCCUUUCACAGAAAGCAGAACACGCUCUCUGACAUACUACAAGCUCGGGAAAUAGCCAGGACCAGAACUCUUAUCUCCCCAUGUGCAGUCUUCCAAUUUUAGUUUGUCUAUGAACAACUUUGCCCAAUUCAAGGACAGAAAAAAAGCACUGUUCAGCGAGCUUUUUCACAUGGUUUCUCACUGUGAUGUCUAAAAAGUGAUAGAUGUAUCUACAUUGCCAAACAAGCAUCUCGGCUUGAAUAGUAAACAAAGUGAAUCAGAACAGAUAAGAAAGUUUCUGACUCUGUGUAUGUUUAUACCUCCUUCCCUUACAGUAACCAGGCUUCUGACUGGAGAAUACAAACUAUAUGACAGGGAGCAGAAUCGUACAACCUCUGCUGUCUUCUGCAUUAGAACAAACAUGCCUGGAAUCAAAGGAAGCACGCAGCACCAGCUUCUGCUCAUGAGGAGCAUGUUUCCUGCAUGACAAGCUCUACUUUGUUAUAACGAGGAACCUCACCUGUGAGAAGCUGCCUUCUUUGGUGCAAAUUCAUAUUCUUCUGGAUACCAGCGUCUGUAAGCAGGAAAAAACAAAAAAAAACCACCAUUUAAAAAGGAAAUUGGGAUUCACUGACGUGUCCAGUGGCUGCUGUGGGUUUGUUACAAUUGGUGAAAGAAGUUCAGUUUCACUGGCUUAUGGAGAAGCCACAACCCCGUGAAUCAAAGUGCAGCAAAUGGCAGAGUACAUCACUCCCCGAGUACUUUAUGGUUCAUUCUGUCCAUCAGCCUGAACAGAAGAGAUGAAAGAAUGAGACGGCUGCACACAGCCAUCUCCCAGCAGCCUUUAACCUUGUUUUAGAAGAGCGCAUGUUAGUGCCACUUAACAGGCUUCCCUAGAUUAUCUUUCACAUAACUAUUCAAUUUGGGGAAUAUUUACCUGCAAAGUUCUUUGACAGUGCUCACAUCAAUGAUCCUGUAAUGAAGAUGCCUCAUGAAUUGAGGCAUGUAUUUGUCAAGAAAUUUCUUAUCUGCAUGAACAGAGUUACCUACAAAGACACAAAACAAGAUGUUUCUUCAAAGACAUUGCAAAGCUACUAUGAACAUCUAAACUACAAACAGGCUAUGCAUGCUUGGAAAAGAUCAUAGGGUACGAAAAGCUAUUCACAGGCAGCUCAUAUAAUUCAUUUUCUAGCAAAUAUGAUUGUAAAGGUUUGUCAGAUUUUCAUUUCAGGAUCACACAUGGUUUAAAUACAUAAUCCCUAUAUUAAUUCUUCAGUUACUACAAUUUCUAUCGCACAGAUAAGUAUCAAAGAAUUGUAAAAGCAUCGGGUUUUUCACCAAGUGAAAACAGGCAUCAGUAUUAAUUUCAUUUAGCCAUAAUCCUAAAGCCCUAUGUGAAUGUCCUGAAUUUAGUUCCAGGUAACAGGAUAUUUGGCAGAUUGGCAUUUGGUGCUUCAUUCGAUACGCAUAGUGAAGAAAAGACACUUUGGUUUACUGUUCCGAUUUUACGGUCACAGAUUGCUCUCAGCAGUUAAGUUGCCCUUCCCAAUUGUAACUGUACAAUGAAACAUUAAUGCUAAAAAACCCUCAAAGUUUCCUGCAGUAGCAAUGUGCAAUAUUUGCUUUAGGGAAUCAGCAGAAUAGAUGAUGCCUUUCUCUACUAGCAGGUUCUGAUUCGCAUGUUAGAUCUCGGCACAGAAAACUAAAGCAUCCCUGCCACGUGCAUCAAGUGGCCUUUCAGCAUCCAGCUGGGAACUGCAGGAGGGAUGACAUUAUUAUUAUUAUUAAGAAAGAACACAUUUUACCUGCAAGAGGACAGAGACCGGGAGGUGUUUGUUGUCGUACAAAGGACAGAAACUCAUACUCUGCCUGCUGCAAUGAAAUUUUACUCUCCUUCACCGCCUUAGUAAGGCCAGACUGCAAGAAAAGAGCCAUUUGUCAUAAAUUAUAUAUAUGCUACCAUCAAAGAUAUUUCUAGAAAUACUCAACAGCAAAAGAUCAAGCGGUAAAGUACUGCUUGCUCCCCAGCAUGCCCAGAAGUAUUAAGAGUACAAAUUCACUUUGUAUUUUAAGGUAUUCUGGGGAACCCAAUCGCCUUUAUACCUCCAUAAGGAGGUAUAAUGGCCUUGCUGACUUUCAGGGCACCACUCGCAAGACGCAAACCAUCGCAAGUGAAGACGAUCAUAGAGCAGUCCUAAGGACACUGCCUCUCCUGUGAUUUUCCUCUCUGUUGCUAUACUUCACAGGGUGUUACUCUCAACUACUGACACAUUAUGCACGCCUCGUUUAUACACCUGCACGCACAUGAUCCAGGAGAGUAUUAUAUUUCUGUUUAACGAGAGGCAUUUGCCUCCCCAGCACAGAGUAGUAUGUGUAAACAAACAGAAAUAAUCAGAAUUCUGACUGAAGUGUUUAUCAAGAUAACUAUAAAUCAGAAAAGCUUCAUCCUUCUUUUUUUCAACAGUUAAAUGUCAGAUCUGCUCUAAGUGUUCUCAGCGAUUUUUUUCCAUCUGGCUAUGCUAUAUAUUUCCAUGACUGUGCUGCAAAAAUCUACUUGACAGAUCCAAGUGGUGGUUAAAAAAUUCAUUAUGUGGCUGCAUUUUCAUCUAUAUUCUAAUUGCUUCUCUUUUCUUAGUCAAUUAAAAAUAAGUAGCUCCUCAGGAGCAGUGAUAACGAAUGCUACCAUCUUCAAUUCACUUGUGAACUGAAGUUGAGUUUGUGUCCUCAGCUGCAGAAGGGGAAAAGCUCCCAUCGCAGUAAAUUAAUAUUCAUUUUCCAAACUCUUACUAAUCCUUCCCAGGGAGAGUAAGAUGCUACCGGGGGGGAGGAAGGAGGGGCCGUGAGUGUCUUAAAACUUCAGCACUUAAUUGAAAACUACAUUGAAUUUAAAUUUGUAAUCAGGGAUUGGAAAAUCCAUUCACUUUCUUGCUACGGGCAAGGAGGAAGCUUUCCUUGGUGACUAAAAACUAAAAUUAAUCUACUCUUACAAAAGUUAAGUUUUCAGUGAAAAAAAUAAGGUAGGCUUACGGUGCUGAGGGGGACAGGCAAAAACAGCAAUCCAAUGUUUACAGUAAACAGAUCUGUUGAAUUCUACUAGGACCUUAAUUUUCAGCUAAGUUUCUGUUUUGCCAGCUCUGGACUAUUCUACACCAACCCUGUAGCUAUUUUUAGUUGGGACGUUAUACGUUAUACCACGUCGUUUUCUUCCGUAUUGGAAUCAUUAUUUGCAUUAUUUUACGCAACACAGAACAGGCUUCAACAUGAGGAGCUGUCAGAGGAGUCCAUGCAACCCAGCCCACUGCCGCACAGGGACUGGGACUCCUGCAGAGUCCAGCCAUGGCAGAGCUCAGCACGCAGAGCAGGGAGCUGAACCCAGCUCUUAAUCUCACUGCCAAAAGGCACAAUGCUGAGUGUCCACUUUGGAACACUGGAAUCAGUGGCAUGUAUCAGGGUGAGAGGGUCCUAUUCUAUGACCCACCGAAGCUGGUCUCACAGUCUGCAGCUUUCCUGUGUGCUGUUGCUGCUCGAGCCUUCUAUUGGACUCAUUCACUGUCAGCUUUCGCUGACGCUUUUGAUUCUCAAGUCAGAAAGUACCUUCGAGCACUAUUCAAACUUAUUAUAAGCCAAGCUGACUAAGCACAGGAUACCUCGGGACAAUCUGACAGGUUCCAACAGGGGAUGGAGAUUAUAGAUACACAGAUGUAACAUGUGGCUAUGCCACGGAUGCCUUGUGACUGUAGGUAAAAUGCUACACGGCGGCUCCUUGGUGUAUAAGGAUGAUACUUACUGUUCUCCCAUUCUUCAUCCCCUCUGUUUGAUUGCAAAAAGUGUUCAGCACAGCUCUGUUGUCCCUUUUUAGAGGCCUGUACUGCAACUAGAACCUCUGAGUUACGUCAUGGCUACAAAGACAUGGGACUGGCAGGGUUGCUCACCUUCCCGUGGUGCUCCUUGCACCACUCGGACAUGCCAUCCAGCAGCUCGUCGGGC